GGGGAUGACAGGCAUUCGACAGGAAAGCCAGCCGGGCAGAAAGCAGGGAUAAACAACCGUGAAUCCGACUUGUGCUGCGACCUAUGGCCGCUGAAUCUGUAAAAACAGGCGUACGUUUUCUUGGAUGCGGGUUCGAUUCCCGCCAUCUCCACCA
rnacentral:tmRNA from 1 species